UUAGCAGAGAUGCUUUGGUGCCUUCGGGAACUCUGAGACAGGUGCUGCAUGGCUGUCGUCAGCUCGUGUUGUGAAAUGUUGGGUUAAGUCCCGCAACGAGCGCAACCCUUAUCCUUUGUUGCCAGCGAUUCGGUCGGGAACUCAAAGGAGACUGCCAGUGAUAAACUGGAGGAAGGUGGGGAUGACGUCAAGUCAUCAUGGCCCUUACGAGUAGGGCUACACACGUGCUACAAUGGCAUAUACAAAGAGAAGCGACCUCGCGAGAGCAAGCGGACCUCAUAAAGUAUGUCGUAGUCCGGAUUGGAGUCUGCAACUCGACUCCAUGAAGUCGGAAUCGCUAGUAAUCGUAGAUCAGAAUGCUACGGUGAAUACGUUCCCGGGCCUUGUACACACCGCCCGUCACACCAUGGGAGUGGGUUGCAAAAGAAGUAGGUAGCUUAACCUUCGGGAGGGCGCUUACCACUUUGUGAUUCAUGACUGGGGUGAAGUCGUAACAAGGUAACCGUAGGGGAACCUGCGGUUGGAUCACCUCCUUA
rnacentral:rRNA from 1 species